UACGAAGGGGGCUAGCGUUGCUCGGAAUUAUUGGGCGUAAAGCGCACGUAGGCGGCUUCUUAAGUCGGUGGUGAAAUCCUGGAGCUCAACUCCAGAACUGCCUUCGAUACUGGGAAGCUCGAGUCCGGGAGAGGUGAGUGGAACUGCGGGUGUAGAGGUGAAAUUCGUAGAUAUUCGCAAGAACACCGGUGGCGAAGGCGGCUCACUGGCCCGGUACUGACGCUGAGGUGCGAAAGCGUGGGGAGCAAACAGG
rnacentral:rRNA from 1 species